rnacentral:tRNA from 1 species
GCCUGGGUGGCUCAGUCGGUCGAGCACCUGACUUCAGCUCAGGUCGUGAUCUCACGGUUCGUGGGUUCGAGCCCCUUAAUCGGCU